AUUUUAAAAACAUGCACCCUGACAGAAAAGACAUCUGAAAAACAAAACAAGCAAAUUAAUCGUCCACUUUCAUGUCUGCAAAAGAUGUCUCAAGAACCAGAACUGAAUAAGGAGUGUGAUAGAGAGGAUGUAUCUGUAUAUUCAGGACUUCCUUGUGUGCAAAAUGAUGAAGAAAUGUGGACCAAACAAGGCAAAUUAGAGUGGAAAAAUAACUUAAAACUCAUCACAAAUGAGUUAAAGCAGAGCUGUGGUGAAACUUGUGAAAAAUACAAAAUUACUGCUUCUCCUGGGGAAGAGUCACUACAUGAUAACUCUAAAGGAGGCACAAACUUAAAGGAAAUACCUUCUUCUUUGACAAAUAAUAUACUUGAUUGCGAUGAAAAAGAUUCUCC
rnacentral:lncRNA from 1 species